AGAGUUUGAUCCUGGCUCAGAUUGAACGCUGGCGGCAUGCCUUACACAUGCAAGUCGAACGGCAGCACGGGAGCAAUCCUGGUGGCGAGUGGCGAACGGGUGAGUAAUACAUCGGAACGUGUCCUGUAGUGGGGGAUAGCCCGGCGAAAGCCGGAUUAAUACCGCAUACGCUCUACGGAGGAAAGGGGGGGAUCUUCGGACCUCCCGCUACAGGGGCGGCCGAUGGCAGAUUAGCUAGUUGGUGGGGUAAAGGCCUACCAAGGCGACGAUCUGUAGCUGGUCUGAGAGGACGACCAGCCACACUGGGACUGAGACACGGCCCAGACUCCUACGGGAGGCAGCAGUGGGGAAUUUUGGACAAUGGGGGAAACCCUGAUCCAGCAAUGCCGCGUGUGUGAAGAAGGCCUUCGGGUUGUAAAGCACUUUUGUCCGGAAAGAAAACCUCUGGGUUAAUACCCCGGGGGGAUGACGGUACCGGAAGAAUAAGCACCGGCUAACUACGUGCCAGCAGCCGCGGUAAUACGUAGGGUGCAAGCGUUAAUCGGAAUUACUGGGCGUAAAGCGUGCGCAGGCGGUCCGCUAAGACAGAUGUGAAAUCCCCGGGCUUAACCUGGGAACUGCAUUUGUGACUGGCGGGCUAGAGUAUGGCAGAGGGGGGUAGAAUUCCACGUGUAGCAGUGAAAUGCGUAGAGAUGUGGAGGAAUACCGAUGGCGAAGGCAGCCCCCUGGGCCAAUACUGACGCUCAUGCACGAAAGCGUGGGGAGCAAACAGGAUUAGAUACCCUGGUAGUCCACGCCCUAAACGAUGUCAACUAGUUGUCGGGUCUUCAUUGACUUGGUAACGUAGCUAACGCGUGAAGUUGACCGCCUGGGGAGUACGGUCGCAAGAUUAAAACUCAAAGGAAUUGACGG
rnacentral:rRNA from 1 species